CCUACUGGAGGCAGCAGUAGGGAAUAUUGCUCAAUGGGGGAAACCCUGAAGCAGCAACGCCGCGUGGAGGAUGAAGGUUUUCGGAUUGUAAACUCCCUUUGUUCGAGCAGAUAAUGACGGUAUCUAACGAAUAAGCACCGGCUAACUCCGUGCCAGCAGCCGCGGUAAUACGGAGGGUGCAAGCGUUACUCGGAAUCACUGGGCGUUAAGAGCGCGUAGGCGGGAUAGCAAGUCAGAUGUGAAAUCCUGUGGCUUAACCAUAGAACUGCAUUUGAAACGGUAAUUUGGGGGUAUGGGAGAGGUAGGGGGAAUUCUUGGUGUAGGGGUAAAUCCGUAGAGAUCAAGAGGAAUACUCAUUGCGAAGGCGACCUGCUAGAACAUAACUGACGCUGAUGCGCGAAAGCGUGGGGAGCAAACAGGAUUAGAUACCCGUGUAGUC
rnacentral:rRNA from 1 species